CUCCUGGAAACGGGUGGUAAUGCCGGAUGCUCCGCCCCCUCGCAUGGGGGGUCGGGAAGGCUUUUGCGGAAUGGGAUGGGGUCGCGUCCUAUCAGCUUGUUGGCGGGGCGACGGCCCACCAAGGCUUCGACGGGUAGCCGGCCUGAGAGGGCGACCGGCCACAUUGGGACUGAGAUACGGCCCAGACUCCUACGGGAGGCAGCAGUGGGGAAUAUUACACAAUGGGGGGAACCCUGAUGCAGCGACGCCGCGUGCGGGAUGGAGGCCUUCGGGUCGUGAACCGCUUUUGAUUGGGAGCAAGCGUGAGUGAGUGUACCUUUCGAAUAAGCACCGGCUAACUACGUGCCAGCAGCCGCGGUAAUACGUAGGGUGCAAGCGUUGUCCGGAAUCAUUGGGCGUAAAGGGCUCGUAGGCGGUUCGUCGCGUCCGGUGUGAAAGCCCAUCGCUUAACGGUGGGUCUGCGCCGGGUACGGGCGGGCUUGAGUGCGGCAGGGGAGGCUGGAAUUCCCGGUGUAACGGUGGAAUGUGUAGAUAUCGGGAAGAACACC
rnacentral:rRNA from 1 species